UGGGGAAUUUUGGACAAUGGGCGCAAGCCUGAUCCAGCCAUGCCGCGUGCGGGAAGAAGGCCUUCGGGUUGUAAACCGCUUUUGUCAGGGAAGAAAUCUUCUGAGUUAAUACCUCGGGAGGAUGACGGUACCUGAAGAAUAAGCACCGGCUAACUACGUGCCAGCAGCCGCGGUAAUACGUAGGGUGCAAGCGUUAAUCGGAAUUACUGGGCGUAAAGCGUGCGCAGGCGGUUUUGUAAGACAGAGGUGAAAUCCCCGGGCUCAACCUGGGAACUGCCUUUGUGACUGCAAGGCUUGAGUGCGGCAGAGGGGGAUGGAAUUCCGCGUGUAGCAGUGAAAUGCGUAGAUAUGCGGAGGAACACCGAUGGCGAAGGCAAUCCCCUGGGCCUGCACUGACGCUCAUGCACGAAAGCGUGGGGAGCAAACAUGAUUAGAUACCCUGGUAGUCCACGCCCUAAACGAUGUCAAC
rnacentral:rRNA from 1 species